UGAUUUUACCAAACAAGUGACAUUCCCACAAAUAUUAUGCUUGACUUGAAGUCAUUGUUUUGAGGGUCCUACAUGCUAUGUCACUAUCACAAGAUAAAAUCAUAUCCUUAUAAGAAAGAUAAUAAAUGCAAGCAACAGGUUGACAGUUAAAGUCGUUAUCUUUAAUGAAAUGACUUUGGAAAUAGCAUCAAUUUCCACGACACCAACAUUUUGGGAGUCCCAUAAAAUAUGUAGGAUUACAUUCCAAUGCCAAUAGUACAGGCAGAUCUCCUUUCACAUGGCAAAUAGGAUCAAGAAAGCAACCAUCAGACAGAAGAGACCCAUAGCUUCAGACAGGGCGAAUCCCAGGAUAGCAUAUGAGAACAGCUGCUGCUUCAGAGAAGGAUUUCUGGCAUAGCCAAUGAUUAGACUACCGAAGACCGUUCCAAUACCAGCACCAGAUCCAGCCACACCUACUGUGGCAGCACCAGCACCAAUGAAUUUGGCAGCAGUGUCAAUGUCCCUGCUGACAGCACUAGUCUGGAAUUCUCUAAGUGCUAGUUGGGAGACAGCGUUUUGGGCCCCAUUAAGUGUGGAUUUGCCCUCUCCAGUCCUGACCUCUGGCCUAGAAAACACAGAUGCUGAAAUUGGUCUGUACAAGAUUCUCGAUCCAGCGCGGAUCAGGGCGGGCGAAGCGGCGAGCUUGGCGCAGGCGAACAUCUUAGCGGGCGGGCGGCGUCCCCGGGGCCACGAUCCGGCGUCUCCUCUGCGGCUGCCGCUCCUCAGGGCUGACGGGCUGAGCGCGGCUGUGCGCAGGCGCGGCGGGACCGGCGGCGGGCGCCCGGAUGCGGCGCGACGGAAGAGGAGGGAGCGGCGCCAAGGUCACUUUAUGCCGACGCCAUUGGCAGCGGCGGGGGGCGCGAACCUCGCCACGCCCCCCACUUGACCACGCCCACUUUAGCCACGCCCCCAUUUAACCACGCCCCCUCGAUCGACAGCCCCCUCCUUCGGCCGCGCCCCCCGCCCGCUCUGAGCUCCCCCCCGCAGGGCUGCAGGCCGCUCGCUGCGCGCUCUCUGCCUCCGGGCCCUCCCUGGGUUACACGGAGCCCCAGCAACUGAACAGCACAGUUCACAUCUGCCUCUUGCAUCCUUGUUGGGGUGUUCUCCCAUCCUCCAGCUGACACCGUGCCUUCCGUCAUCGCGUACUUUUCUGUCGGCUCCCACAACCAGGCUGCAGUCUCACCGGUGCUGUACAUUUUCUGUCACGAUUCCCACUCUGGAA
rnacentral:lncRNA from 1 species